rnacentral:rRNA from 1 species
UGGGGAAUAUUGGACAAUGGGCGCAAGCCUGAUCCAGCCAUGCCGCGUGAGUGAUGAAGGCCCUAGGGUUGUAAAGCUCUUUCACCGGUGAAGAUAAUGACGGUAACCGGAGAAGAAGCCCCGGCUAACUUCGUGCCAGCAGCCGCGGUAAUACGAAGGGGGCUAGCGUUGUUCGGAUUUACUGGGCGUAAAGCGCACGUAGGCGGACUUUUAAGUCAGGGGUGAAAUCCCGGGGCUCAACCCCGGAACUGCCUUUGAUACUGGAAGUCUUGAGUAUGGUAGAGGUGAGUGGAAUUCCGAGUGUAGAGGUGAAAUUCGUAGAUAUUCGGAGGAACACCAGUGGCGAAGGCGGCUCACUGGACCAUUACUGACGCUGAGGUGCGAAGGCGUGGUGAGCAAACAGG